ACCGAGGCUCUAUUAGGUCUCAGUUUGUUGUUCAGACACUCUUCAACUUUUUGAACCGUAUGAAGAAACUGUGAAGCUAGAAAGUGUGUGUGAGCUGAUGUGGAUUCAGCAGCAUGGAUCAGUGUGAGGACAGAGAGGAGGGGGUCCCUCCCUCUAAAACCACUCUGUGUGGGGAAGAUGAGAGCCAGAGCAAACGUCGGAGGAUCCAUCAGAGACUCAAACCAGAACCAGAACCAGAACCCAGCUGUGUGUCCUUUAAGAGCGACAGGUCAAAGGAU